AUUGAACGCUGGCGGCAGGCCUAACACAUGCAAGUCGAACGGUAGCACAGAGAGCUUGCUCUUGGGUGACGAGUGGCGGACGGGUGAGUAAUGUCUGGGAAACUGCCUGAUGGAGGGGGAUAACUACUGGAAACGGUAGCUAAUACCGCAUAACGUUGCAAGACCAAAGAGGGGGACCUGCGGGCCUCUUGCCAUCAGAUGUGCCCAGAUGGGAUGAGCUAGUAGGUGGGGUAACGGCUCACCUAGGCGACGAUCCCUAGCUGGUCUGAGAGGAUGACCAGCCACACUGGAACUGAGACACGGUCCAGACUCCUACGGGAGGCAGCAGUGGGGAAUAUUGCACAAUGGGCGCAAGCCUGAUGCAGCCAUGCCGCGUGUAUGAAGAAGGCCUUCGGGUUGUAAAGUACUUUCAGCGGGGAGGAAGGCGAUACGGUUAAUAACCGUGUCGAUUGACGUUACUCGCAGAAGAAGCACCGGCUAACUCCGUGCCAGCCGCCGCCGUAA
rnacentral:rRNA from 1 species